rnacentral:rRNA from 1 species
GACGAACGCUGGCGGCGUGCUUAACACAUGCAAGUGGAGCGACGAACCGGGCUUCGGCCCGGGGCAAAGCCGCGAACGGGUGAGUAUCACGUGGGUAACCUGCCCCGAUGACCGGGAUAACCCGAGGAAACUCGGGCUAAUACCGGAUGUGCUCCCAAUCCACCAGGGUUGGGAACAAAGGAAGCUUCGGCCUCCGCAUUGGGAUGGGCCCGCGGCCCGUUAGCUUGUUGGUGAGGUAACGGCUCACCAAGGCGACGAUGGGUAGCUGGUCUGAGAGGACGAUCAGCCACACUGGGACUGAGACACGGCCCAGACUCCUACGGGAGGCAGCAGUGGGGAAUCUUGCGCAAUGCGCGAAAGCGUGACGCAGCAACGCCGCGUGAGGGAAGAAGGCCUUCGGGUUGUAAACCUCUUUCAGGAGGGACGAAGGUUCAGGCGCGAACAGCGUCCUGGACUGACGGUACCUCCAGAAGAAGCCCCGGCUAACUACGUGCCAGCCGCCGCAGUAAAAC